CCUACGGGAGGCAGCAGUAGGGAAUCUUCGGCAAUGGACGAAAGUCUGACCGAGCAACGCCGCGUGAGUGAAGAAGGUUUUCGGAUCGUAAAACUCUGUUGUUAGAGAAGAACGUUGUGUAGAGUGGAAAAUUACACAAGUGACGGUAUCUAACCAGAAAGGGACGGCUAACUACGUGCCAGCAGCCGCGGUAAUACGUAGGUCCCGAGCGUUGUCCGGAUUUAUUGGGCGUAAAGCGAGCGCAGGUGGUUUAAUAAGUCUGAUGUAAAAGGCAGUGGCUCAACCAUUGUGUGCAUUGGAAACUGUUAGACUUGAGUGCAGUAGAGGAGAGUGGAAUUCCAUGUGUAGCGGUGAAAUGCGUAGAUAUAUGGAGGAACACCGGUGGCGAAAGCGGCUCUCUGGACUGUAACUGACACUGAGGCUCGAAAGCGUGGGUAGCAAACAGGAUUAGAUACCCUGGUAGUCCACGCCGUAAACGAUGAGUGCUAGUUGUUUGGGGCUAUCCAGCCCUAAGUGACGCAGCAAACGCAUUAAGCACUCCGCCUGGGGAGUACGACCGCAAGGUUGAAACUCAAAGGAAUAGAGGG
rnacentral:rRNA from 1 species